UUUUUUUAAGUAUUUACAACUAAGAAAUCCCCUCCCCCGAAAAGUAGAAAGGAGAGAGGAAAAGAAAUGGAGCUGAAAAUGAGUGGAAAUGCAGUGAAGACGUUCGCCAGAUCCAUAACGUGCCUUGCACGCAUUGGCAAUGAGGUCGCCAUUCAAGCGUCUUCUACCCAGCUCACGUUUCACACUCUUAACUCCUCAAGGUCGGCCUAUCAAUCAAUUACAUUCAAACCUGAUUAUUUUGAUGUCUUCACUGUUUCUGCUCCACAGGUGCAAUGCAGUGUGCUCUUGAAGGCUAUUUGUUCUGUAUUAAGAACACCAAUUGCCAGUAUAGAUCAUUUGACUGUCUCAUUGCCUAAUCCUGAUGCAUCAAAGGUGCAGUGGACACUCAACUGCCAUAAUGGUAUGAGGAAAGCUUAUUGGAUUACUUGCAAUGUUGAACCUGACAUACAACACUUAUCCCUUGAUAGGAGAAAGCUUCCAAGCAACUUUGUGGUGAGGCCUCGUGAUCUGAACAGGUUACUGUCAAACUUCCAAACAACUCUCCAAGAGAUCACAAUCAUUGCUACCAAUCCAACUUGCUUACCUCCUGAUACUGCAACUGAAAUUGGAGGCAAAGCUGUUGAGCUCAGAAGUUAUAUAGACCCAACAAAAGAAAAUGAUUCAUCACUACACACUCAGUUGUGGAUAGAUCCCACUGAAGAGUUUGUGCAGUAUAAUCAUAUCACGAACCCUGUGGAUGUGACAUUUGGAGUGAAGGAAUCGAAAGUAAUUUUUCAUGUCUUUGACUGGGACUUCUUUAAUCCAGCUUUCCUUUCUUUCUGUGAGGGAUGUGAAGUUGACAUACAGUUCUAUUUUGAUAAAGCUGGCGAGCCAAUUUUAAUGGCUCCAAAAUUUGGUUUAGACGAUGGCUCCAACUCAACUUUUGAUGCCACUUUGGUACUUGCAACCAUGCUUGUGUCACAGCUCAACACUGCAAGCUCCUUGGAAAAUCCACAAUCUGCUGGCACUUCCUAUGGGCAGGCUAAUGAUGGAAGACAGGCCCCAGUCCAGGAGAGGUCAAAAGGGAAUUCUGGGCUUCCAUCUGAUCAGACCAGAAUUUGGUCUGAUCUUUCAGGAAGCAGAACAAGAGGUGGUAAUGAUGCUGAACACGGAAAGGAAAGAAACGAGAGCGAUAAUGUGCAAAGGGAAAUUCAGAAAAUUGGUGUGAUACACAUAUCUGAAGCUGGAGCUGCUGGAAGAAAUAUGUCUGACAUACCUAAUGACUUCCAUUCUGUGGACAGGAAUCCUUUGGAAGAACCUCAAGGCAUGGUGGAUUUGGAAGGUCAUGCUUCUCAACACCAUCCUAGUAACUGGGUAGAAGCAGAUGACGACGAUGAUGAAGGAGAUGAGUCAGAGUUGUGUGUUCAAUCAACUCCUCCAUAUCACUAGGAAUACAACAGCUCAAGCUGUUAUAUAAUCCUAACAAGUAGUUUGUUAUUGAUAAAUUUUGCUAUAGGAAAGAGCAUGACUAUGGUAAUAUACAAUUAUGGUGAUACGCCUAGUUCUAGCUGAGAAAAAGAAGAUGUUAAGGAGAAUUACUUUGAUAGCGGCUUUCCUCUUGAAUACUGUAAUGAUACUUGUAAUGAUACUGACAAAGUUGGUGGAGAAGAGAAAUACAAAGAAGAAGAAGUUGAACAUGAAGAGGAGGAGAAGAACAAGAGAGAAGAAGAUAGCUAUGAAGCCAACGAGGCCAACAACGAAUUGAUUAAAUGAACUCACUUUUGUUUUCUUCUCCUUUA